GUACCAGGAUGUCACUGGAGGAUGACUCCUUGUCCUCAUCUGAACUGAGGUGUUGAAUAAAAGGGACCCUCAGUCAGAAACUUUACAGGUCAGAAGCGACACUCUCGGUCAGAAGCGUUAUUCUUAGUAUAGAGCUCUUUAUAAACCGGGUAGUUUGCAUACUGGAUGCUGAUUGGCUGAAAAUAGCAUUUAGCCGUGUGUAUACGGUCACCAUGAUAUCAUUGCGCCUUUUCACCUCGAUAAAAUGGCUACAGCAAUAAUAGUUCCACAUGACGAUGUAGAAAAUAAACGUUAAAAUGAAUUUGAGAGAAACCGAAACGAAUUGUGAAACAAACAAAAGUGGGCACUUACCCGCUUCACUGACUGGUGCGCCGAACAAAGGAUACAUUGUUAGUUUGUGAAUACAACCAAAAUGGAGCUGAAAGUCAUUUUACGGGACUUUUAUGGUUAAGUGAGAAACAUGAAUGGCGAAAAAGAUGGGAUUAGCAGCUAAACUGCCGCUGGACUUGAACCGACAUAUCAAUGACCCCCUCUCAGUCUGGCAUGGAGUAUACAGGACACCGAAAUCACAACGCGCAACAAUGUGUCGUCUCUCAGCGUAAUUAAAAAGUUGAGGAAGAGGGAUGCGACAAAGCAGUGAAUGGAUACGUAUGGUACACAUGUCAAGAGCCGAUAGGAGUGAACACCCUCGUAACAAUGCUGCCAAAACCCUGAAAAAUAGCUGUCUCGUCACAGAUGUACACAAACUACUACCUCCGUCAUCCAUUUACAGUAGCGUGGAGCCAACAAACAUGGAACAAUUUUUUAAUUUGUGCACAAUAAAUGACAACAUUCAGAUCAAUGUUAAUAAAUAAUUGUCAUGUGUUAGUCAUUCUAUUAAAGGGGCGCUAAUGCUCGGUUUUUGCAUACAUUUAAUGUAAGCUUGCCAUCUUGCCUGUGGUUAUGUUGCAUAGCAACCAGUUUAGCGUUGAUACUUUCGUCCGGACUACUUUUUCUGGCAGUAUGUAUUUAUUAAAGCAACAUUUUCAAUAUAGAUGUGUAGUUUCUUGCCUUACUAUGUUGGCAACCGGUUUAUAAAAGCAAUAAGGCACUUUGGGGGUUAGUGGUAUAUGGCCUAUGUGCCACGGCUAAGGGCUGUAUGCAGGCACUCCGCGUUGCGUCGUGGUAAAACAAACCGUAGCCUUGGUAUAUAAACCAUAUACCACACCCUCUUGGGCCUCAUUGUUUAAAUAGACGCUCGGCUCUAUAUCAAAUCGCAAAGGGCUGACACUGGAGCCAGUUCCAAAUUUUCAACCGUAAACAAUCAUAACAUUUUGUUCAUCGUUAUAAUUGGUCAGGGGAACAUAUCCAUCGAUCUAACUGUUGUAUAUAAUGACCCUCGCUUGGUUAGCUGCCGAGACUCAAUAGCGCCCACGUCAUGUACCAGUACCACACGGCAGGUCUGGCAUUGUAAAUGGCCAUUGUUUUUGUUCCUGAAGGGAAUAAGCUAGAAAAUAGUUAGCUAGCUACGUUACUUCAGCUGCAUUGCAUUGCAAAUGUCGGCGGGAAGCGGUGAAAAAUACAAACUUUGGACAACUAUAUGAUUAUCCAGAAUUUAUUAGAACACACAAUGUUACAUUCACUCCAGAGGAGUAUCAAAUGUAAUAACAUGUAUAUAAGGAAACUAUGUCAAUAUGUUACUAUUCCCUCUGCUAAAAUGUACUGGAAUGCAGCCCUCGGACAAGUGAACUGGAACAGUUUCGUUAUCUGGUAAAUAUUGUACAUCUAAUAAGGUGAAAGAGGUAUCAUACAAACUCAUUCAUAGACCUUUAUUAUACACAGAUUUAAAAUAGCUAUUGAUAACAAAUGUGUAUUUUGUGAUUGUGACCCAGAGACUCUUGACCAUGUAUUUUGGGACUGCUCUUAUGUCAGAAGAUUUUGGUGUGAGUUAGAAGAUUUUAUUUUAAAAGAAACAACUAUUAAUGUUAAUUUGAAAGACGAGAUAUUGUGUUUUAUUUUGAACCAAAUGAUAUGGACCCUGAUUUAACUUUCAUUGUUAAUUUGUUUAUCUUUCAUGGAAGAUUCUUUGUCCAUAAAAUGAAGUGGGCAGAGAACAAACCCCUUUUCACAUUAUUUAAGAUAGAAUUGAAAUAUUAUUUUGAAAUUCUCAGUAAAUGAAAAAACAAAAAAGCAAUUACGCACCAUAAAAGUAUUUAACAAAUUGAAAAUUAAUCUGGAUAUGUAAUAUCCCUGUCUGUUAGGUUUAUGUACUCUUGUUUGUAUAUUUCUGUUUUUUGUUGUUGUAUUUGUUGUGUUCAUAAUAAAAAUAAAAAUCACCACCGGCGAUCGCUGGGCGAUGACCAAUCAUAUCGAGUGAUUCCCAUGACGAGUUGACGCUAUGCGACCCAAGGCUGGAGACCGUCUUCAGCAAAGAUGUCUGACAAAAAUACUGGGACGGAGGCAAGUGGACUCCUGAAACAACCAGCAACCCAAGCUGUUGUGAAAUAGUGGAUGUGAAGAAUCUAGCUAGCUAAAGCAUUUACUGCAAAUGUAAGGUACAAUUUUGUGAUCUUGCGUUGCUGAUAUUUGCCAUGCAAUGCUGAUAGAUGAAGUAACGUAGCUAGCUACUGUAACUAUUUUCUUGCUCAUUGUGCAUUGGAGGAUACAAAUGCCUGUAUGCCUAUGGGUGUGGUGUGUAGCUAACGUUAGCUAUGUAGCCGAUCUGUGUAUGGACCGUAAAACGUUUGGCAUCAGAACCUAGUUAUGAACCUCAGCUAUCAUAGCCAGUUGUAUCGACUUCAAACCUGUCUGAAUGGCAUUAAUGAAGCCUAUGGAUUGAGUAGAAUAUAAUGUAACUUUGCGCCAAGGAUGCAACUCGUAUAUACAUGUAGUUAUUACCAAGCAUCCCCACAUUGUAGCCUGUACAUUUUAUACAUUCACUGAUCAUGUACUCUACUUUGGUAAAUAAAGGUGCAGUUCAAGUGUGAAUGAGAUUAUUUUUCAGUCAUAUCCAAUACCAGGAGUAUCAAAUUCCAGUCUUUGAUUGAUUGAUGCAUGUAUGUAUUACAAUUAAACACUUCAACAGUGUUUACCAAUCUUGGUCCUGGGACGUCAAUGGUUACACAUUGUAACUGCAAUAGAGACAAGAAAUAUGAUUUAACUAGUUAAAGGCUGAUUUGUAAUUCAUAUAUACAAAAAUUUUGGGGCGGCAGGGUAGCCAAGUGUUGGACUAGUAACUGAAAGGUUGCAAGUUCGAAUCUCCGAGCUGACGAGGUACAAAUCUGUCGUUCUGCCCCUGAACAGGCAGUUAACCCACUGUUCCUAGGCCGUCAUUGAAAAUAAGAAUUUGUUCUUAACUGACAUGUCUAGUAAAAUAAAGGUAAAAUAAAAAAAUGUAACUUAAAAAACAGUACACUACACUUCCUAUGCGUCAUGUAAAUACUCUAAAACCGGUUCAUCUCAAUAUCUAAUUUCCUUCAUCUGCAUUGAUCUGUGUUUUAUGUACCCCAGUUUCUGUGUUGUGGUUUUGUUUGUAUGUGUGUGUUUCAGGAUGGCUUCCUGAAAUUCCCCCAAGCAGCUGAUUGGUCAGCCCCAUUGAUGAUUGGAGCUGACCCCGCCCUCUUGUCAGAAACAGCUGUCUUCAAUUACCGACUCCUUCUGAAGCUAUAUAAGCCAGUGUUCUGUUGCUCAGAAGAGCGAUGAUUAGUGUGUUCUGUGUUGAUUGUUGUUAUUAAGAGAGCUGAGGGUGAUAGCAUGUGUUGGUUUUCUUAGAAAGAGCUUAUUGUUAUAUUGUGUGUUGGUUGUUGCUCAAAUAGUUUGUGUAUAGUAUUUUGUAGCCGGUUCUGCAAAGGUAUGUGUAUGCCAAAAGGACUUAUGAUUAGUAAUUAUUCUGCUUUUGUUCCUAGGGGGGGGGAAGGCACCUAGGGAGUGCUUAGGCAAGAGGCCUGUGGGCAUACAUAACCUGUAGUAUUCACUGUCUAUGCACACUAGGUAAGGCCUGGGCGGACCACCCCUGUAUUUUGGUUAGUGCACCAGGUGGUGCUGAGUUAGGUAAGUCGUGGGUAGGCAGGUAAGGUAGGAGCGGGGGCUUUGACAUUUAGUGUCUUUGCUUUGUUUAUGUCCAGCCCCGUUUCCCCAAAUUUACCGUGUGAAGGAAUCAAUAAAUUCCCUGUAAGCGGUACAUUCUCUGCCUUUGUCAUCUUUACUCGCACCUACAGUCCUAUACCUCUUCCACACCACGGGGAGUUGAGUUGUAGCAGGGUGUUGCGUUCCCUCUUCUUAGAGGCAUAUGUAACAUAAUGGGGGCUCAUCCGGGAUAAUUUCUUUAAACCCACCGGACCCUGCUGCUCUGAGCUCUCUGUGGUUAGUGAUUGAGGUGGGAUGGUAGAUUGUGAGUUUGGAUGACUUGUAUAGUUUGUGUGUUCAGUAGACUGCAGUGUACAAAAUGGCUGCCUCGGCCAUCUCCAAAUUUAUUGAAGCGCCAUCUGUUGAUCGUUUGGUGGGGUUGCGGAAAGUAGACCUUGUCGCUAUAGCUGACAAUUAUGGACUCUUCGUCCCUGCGAAAGCCCUAAAGGCUGAGCUUUUGGUGCUAGUCAGGGAGGGUUUAGUGAGAUAAUGAAUUCUCCCGUUGAAAGAUGAGGGAGGCUUCAGGAGAGGAGACUGAUAGACCUUCCGAUGCCAAGUCGGAGGACAGGGCGGAGGAAGGAGUUGCUCGUACCCCCUUUACAUUGCCCCGAUUUGACCCUUUAUCUUCUGCUUCGGGUCGUUCAGACAGGACCGCUAGGCUGAAGGUGAGGCUGGCCCAUUUAGAAAUGGAGCAAAAAAGAUAGACGGAUGCAGUUUAAUCUAGAAAUGAGGAAAAUGGAAAUCGACAAGGCGGUUAGGAUCUGACAACUGGAGCUAGACACUGGCUCCAGUGCGACUCCACAACCUGCUCAUCAAGCCCACCUCGGUGUGAGUAAAAAUAUAGCUUUCCAUCCAUUCCGGGAGUUGAUUCCUAUUUCUCUGCGUUUGAGCGAGCUGCAUUGGCCACUUGAGGUUUGGCCGCUCCUGUUGUAAUGUAAAUUGUCUGGGAAAGUCCAGGAGGUAGUAGCUACUCUCUCCCUGGAAGACAGUUUAAACUACAAUCCAGUUAAAACUACCGUGUUUUGGGCUUAUGAGUUGGUGCCUGAAGCUUAUAGGCAGUGCUUCAGGAACCACAAAAAAACCUCACGGUAUGUUUGUUGAGUUUGCAAGGGACAGAGUCUCUGUUUAAUUGCUGGUGUUCAGCCAGCAAAACUAACACCUCUGCUGAUUUUUGGGAGUUGAUGCUGUUCACCGACAACCUAGAGGGAGAAGGGGUAGAGAGAGAUGAAGUGAAGGAGACUGUUCUUGAGAAAUAAAGGUAGUUAAAGAGAAAGUUAAA